rnacentral:sRNA from 1 species
UCUUUAGCCACAAAACAGGGACAGCAGCAGUACGUGCUUUCCCCACAUCCUUCUGUCAAUAUGCUUGAACCCUGACCUGGACUGACCACCCUAUGGGGUGAGA